rnacentral:lncRNA from 1 species
ACAGGACACAGGCAAGCUCACAAGAAACUGCCUCGUAGGGCUGAGUGAAAUUUGCUGAUAGAGCUGCAGAAUCACAUUCCUCAAAGACAGGAAGGAGCUUAAGGGAGAGGCCUGAUGGGAUUUGGAGAGCUGCCUGUUUCCUCUGCACUGCAGGAUGGGAUUGAGCGUGCCCCUGGCUGAGGAAGGAGGGCACAAGGACGCUGCGGCCGACAGGCCAGGACUCUGCACCUUAGGUGCAGGAGAGGAGGUGACAGGAAGCUGAGGCUUGGCUGGCCACAUGCAGUUUCCAUAGGCAAGCCGUGGCUCAGCUGGCUCUUCCGCUCCAAGUCUCACAAGGCUGCAAUCAAGGUGUCAGCCUGGGCUACAGUGUGAU